AGCGCCUACGGGAGGCAGCAGUGGGGAAUCUUGCACAAUGGGCGAAAGCCUGAUGCAGCGACGCCGCGUGGGCGAAGAAGGCCUUUGGGCCGUAAAGCCCUGUCGGGAGGGAAGAAGGAAGCGACGGUACCUCCCAAGGAAGCCCCGGCUAACUACGCGCCAGCAGCCGCGGUAACACGUAGGGGGCGAGCGUUAUCCGGAAUCAUUGGGCGUAAAGGGUGCGUAGGCGGCCUUUUAAGCGCGGGGUCUAAGGCGGUGGCCCAACCACCGUUCGCCCCGGGAACUGGCGGGCUAGAGUGACGGCG
rnacentral:rRNA from 1 species